GGUAUAAUUUAAUUACAAGAAAUUCAAACACAAAAUAUAAUAAUAUAUUAAAAAAUAAAAAUUCAUAUAAUUUUUUUUUUUCAGGCUCAAGUGGGGGCCUGGGACUCCACUAUCCUCCACCUGCCUCCGCCACUUCCGACAAAGUCCUGGCUCGGUAUGGUUGCACAAAGAAAAGUUGAAUUUACGUGGAUCUCGCGUGAAUAAAAUAAUUCCAACGUAUGAUCCCCACAUUCUUAUUGUGAGUGUAUGUAAAGUAUUAGGUAAAAAAAAUUAGAUACAUCUAGCAUGGACCGAGGAAAGAAGAAAGAAGGUCUAAUCCCAACCUUGAGGGCUCUCCACCGCCCCGUCUUUGGAGCAUUGUGAGAGAGGUAAAUCGCAGGAUGUGCCUCAGCAAGCCAGAGAACAAGAUUUUACCCGUACACUGGUGCCCACAAAGAGUCCAAUUUCAUAUAUUAGAAAUCGAACCCUCACACUACGACUGCCAACAAGGCUUGAGACUACCCCAUUCUUGUCCUAUGUACCACUGGUUUACACAUGAUCUUGUUGAAGUUGAAUUAGAUCAUUUAUUUUUUCCCAUAAAAUUUUCUAAACGACCUUGUGUUACCAUUAAGG
rnacentral:lncRNA from 1 species